GAAAAUAGAGGGUGGUUUGGUUGCGACAUCUGUCACCCCAUUGAUCGCCAGGGUUGAUUCGGCUGAUCUGGCUGGCUAGGCGGGUGUCCCCUUUCUCCCUCACCGCUCCAUGUGAGGCCCUCCUGAAGCUGCGUGCUCUGUCAAAGAGGAUGACCAUCCCCAACAGAGGAGGACCAUUCUUCGGUCAAGGGUAUACAAGUAGCUGCGCUCUUGUAUACCAAACAAGCUCUCAAAAAAUGGAGUUGGCUACAGUUCUUAGAGUACUCUGAGAAUACCUGAUUCUUCUG
rnacentral:snRNA from 1 species